rnacentral:rRNA from 1 species
GCUAGUUGGUGAGGUAACGGCUCACCAAGGCGAUGAUAGGUAGCCGGCCUGAGAGGGUGAACGGCCACAAGGGGACUGAGACACGGCCCAGACUCCUACGGGAGGCAGCAGUGAGGAAUAUUGGUCAAUGGGCGGAAGCCUGAACCAGCCAUGCCGCGUGAAGGACUAAGGCCCUACGGGUCGUAAACUUCUUUAGACGCAGAGCAAUAAGGUCCACGUGUGGACCGAUGAGAGUAUGCGUAGAAUAAGCAUCGGCUAACUCCGUGCCAGCAGCCGCGGUAAUACGGGGGAUGCGAGCGUUAUCCGGAUUCAUUGGGUUUAAAGGGUGCGUAGGCGGCCGAGUAAGUCAGCGGUGAAAGACCGGGGCUCAACCCUGGAAGUGCCGUUGAUACUGUUUGGCUGGAAUGAUCCCGCCGCGGGAGGAAUGAGUGGUGUAGCGGUGAAAUGCAUAGAUAUCACUCAGAACACCGAUUGCGAAGGCAUCUCGCGAGGGGUCAAUUGACGCUGGGGCACGAAAGCGUGGGGAUCGAACAGG